rnacentral:rRNA from 1 species
UGCCAGCCGCCGCGGUAAAACCAGCACCUCAAGUGGUCAGGAUGAUUAUUGGGCCUAAAACAUCCGUAGCUUGCUGCGUCAGUGCUUUGUGAAAUCUGGCUUCUUAAGAGUCAAAGUGCAAGGCAUACUGCGCAGCUAGAGACCGGGAGAUGUGAAGAGUACGUAUAGGGUAGCGGUAAAAUGUGUUGAUCCUAUAUGGACUAACGAUAGCGAAGGCACUUCACAAGAACGGAUCUGACAGUAAGGGAUGAAGGCUAGGGGCGCAAAACGGAUUAGAUA